GGAAAGGCUUCGUUCCCCGGUGGGGCGCUCGGGCUUCAAACCCGAGAGGGGCUGCCAGCAGUCCCUGGUGGGUUCGACUCCCACGCUUUUCCGCCA
rnacentral:tRNA from 1 species